UAAUACGAAGGUGGCAAGCGUUGUUCGGAUUUACUGGGCGUACAGGGAGCGUAGGCGGUUGGGUAAGCCCUCCGUGAAAUCUCCGGGCCUAACCCGGAAAGUGCGGAGGGGACUGCUCGGCUAGAGGAUGGGAGAGGAGCGCGGAAUUCCCGGUGUAGCGGUGAAAUGCGUAGAGAUCGGGAGGAAGGCCGGUGGCGAAGGCGGCGCUCUGGAACAUUUCUGACGCUGAGGCUCGAAAGCGUGGGGAGCAAACAGGAUUAGAUACCCUGGUAGUCCACGCCUUAAACGAUGAAUACUAAGUGUCGGCGGGUUACCGCCGGUGCCGCAGCUAACGCAUUAAGUAUUCCGCCUGGGAAGUACGGCCGCAAGGUUGAAACUCAAAUGAAUUGACGG
rnacentral:rRNA from 1 species